rnacentral:lncRNA from 1 species
AAAAGGAAGGGAAAGAGGAAGGGAAAGAGGAAGGAAGGAAGGAAGGAAGGGCAAUUGGUACUAAAUUCUUGUAGUGCCCAGGCACUCUUCCCCUAGUGGGCAGGGCAGAGAGACUGUGAAAGGUGGAGAUGAAGGAGAGCCAUCAUUUCACUCUUGAGAAAGGACGGAGCAGGCUGUGUGGAAGAGAUGAGAUCUGGGAUAAAUUGGAAAAGGUAUCAAAAAAUUAGGAGGGAAGAAAUAUUUUCAGCAAGUCUGCUACCACACUCCUCAAAUUCAACUAAGAGUGGUGAUUUAAUGUCAGAAAAGCUCCGCAUCCAGCCCUAUUAGCAGGGGCAGAAACAGACGCCAGGAGACACUGCCCACCUCCUGGGAAUCGGAAUCAGCCUUCACAGCACCAGGAGCCUGGGGUGGGCUGCUGUUUCUGUAAGGUUUUAAAAAGUCAGAGAGCACAGAGUUCUUCCGGAGCCUAUUCUGACUCCUCCUGAGUUUUGUUCACGUGAGAUAAUAUCCUCCUGGGAAAAAAUCUUGAUGGAAAGCCAAGGCCCCCCUGCUGGCUGCAAGAAACCGGAAUUCGGCCUUUUCGGCGCGCACCCGGACACGGCGCUGGGAUGAAGGCGCCCAGUUCAUGCCCAGCCAGGGCCUGCAGGGACAACGGGAUGGUCACAGGACGGCUGCCUCAGCUCCAAACAGCAACAUCUGAAGGAGAAAGUGUGGUGAGUCUUUGAUCCACUCUGUGAGAAAGCUGCACUGCGUGACGACAAACCCACAGAGAGAGUGGAGCUCCAGCCUCGCUUUCUUGGUGACUCUGCGAUGCUAGAAAUAAACAAAUUUAACAGACGCCUUCGAGGGGCCACCAACCCAGCCGCACACUGAGUCGGCACGAGUGUGUGCCGGGCAACGCGCUCAGCUCUGCGGGGCUGCGUCACCAGCUGCACUGCGUCUCCCCCACUUUCAUACACUGCAGCCCUCACCCCCAGGACCUCCCAAUGGGACCGCAUUUGGCAGUGGGGUCUUAAAGAGAUCGUUGGGUAAAAUGAAGCCAUAGGGGUUGGCCCUCAUCCAGUAGGACCAGUGUCCUUAUAGGAAGAGGAGGUUAGGACAGACACACACAGGGACGGCCGGGCGAGGACACAGGCAGAGGGCAGCAUCCAGAAGCCCAGGAGAGGAGCCUCCGGAGGAACCAGCCCUACUCACACCUUGGUCUUGGACUUCCGGCCUCCAGAACCACGAAGAACUGCAGGCCCGGACUGGAUGGCUUUGGCUAAGGAACCAACGCAGGUGGAGAAGGAGGCUGACGAUGGAGCCCAGGCACUCCAGCCUUGAAGGAGGAGAACCUGACCCUGAGCCUGCAUGGCAGCCGUGCGGGGGGACUUCGGGGGGUUUCCCCUUUGCUUCCAUCCAAAGAAAGUGCCCCACGUUUGAAAGCCUCUGUGCUGAAUGCUCCCAAUGCCCUCCGAUUCCAUCUAGGUCGUCCCUACCACCAAGGCAGGUGUGUGAAUUCACCCGCACAGCUCACCGUCCUGGGAGGGUGACGCUGGAGGAGGGACGUCCCUACCAUCAAGGCAGGUGUGUGAAUUCACCCGCACAGUUCACCGUCCUGGGAGGGUGACGCUGGAGGAGGGACGUCCCUACCAUCAAGGCAGGUGUGUGAAUUCACCCGCACAGUUCACCGUCCUGGGAGGGUGACGCUGGAGGAGGGACAUCCCUACCAUCAAGGCAGGUGUGUGAAUUCACUCGCACAGUUCACCGUCCUGGGAGGGUGACGCUGGAGUAGGGAUGUCCCUCCGGGGUCUCUUCAGCAUCUGCCCUUCUCCACCACAUAAGUUCGUCAGUGAGGGGGAGUCACGCAGCUGGGAGCAUGGAGUGCAGUGCGCAGGCCCCUUGCCCGGGGCCAGGCUCCCUCUGCCUCAUUGCCGCUAAGAGGCUGCCCUUUCUGGCCUGGACAUCUCCUGGGACUGUGGGCCCUCACAGCCCUGGGCAGUCUGGACAGGACGGACUGUGCUUCUCAUGGGGCAGCACUUCCUCCACUGCAGACGCUGCCACCUGCCCCCUCCCUCCCUGCUGGAAGCCUCUGGUCUCCAGGCCUCUCCUGGCUGUCUCUGGCCCUUGCCUCAUUCACACCCAGCUGUGAGCAUACCUGCUGGCUCAGCCCAGAGCCCCUGUCUUCUCAGCUUUGCACCCCAACUCCUGAAUUUGGUUUUCAGCUGGAUUUCCUUAGGCUCAGGACUUAGCCAGGACUUGUGGACUCUCCUGCAUAUUUCUAGUACAUGCACCUGCACAGGUUCGGGCCCUCUGACCACGAAGAGUGAAUGAGACUGGGAGGGGUCAUUACACAUUGCAAGCAAAGCCAUAAACACACACACCAGCCAGGUGCAAAAAGAGUUAAACUAAUUAGCUUAUUCCCUUGGGGAGAGUUUAAGCAGAAGUAGGAAAAUAACUGAAGUACCAAACUGUCAGACAAUGAAUGGGUCUGGAAUAAUGUGAAAAUUACUGCAACUGUCUGAGAGGCUAUGUAGUUGGUGUUGUUAUUAGUGGGGAGCUUUUUCCUCCACAGAGCAAGAUACUAAAUGGAUGUCAUUUCUGGGCACUUACAUAAUUGGCUAAGGCUGGUCUCAGCGGAAAACAGCCGCUGGCCCUGUCCACACACACACGCGGACCCACGGGGCCACUUGGAAGUCGGACGCUCCUGGCCUGACACUGCAUUGUCUCCAGCAGAAUGAGAAACACAGCAGAGAGGGAAUGGUCAACCCCAGAGCACUGGCCACUUUGGGAAAAUGGACAUCUCCUCUCCUCUGGCUGAAGGAAAGUAAGAAGACACGGUGUUGCCCCAGGCUAUGUAGCCCACAACAAUUUUCCAUCCAAAUGCAUGAGCCCGGGUUCCCGAUGAAGACUUGGCUUCUCCUGAGCCCGGGGGUCCUGGCUGCUCUGGUGCCAACCCCUGGGUGUCUUUGAGCUGCAGAGGGCUUGCCACGUGCAUCCUCCUCCCUCUGCCUGAGCCACGAAGACCAGGCUGGACUAUGUUCCACAAAGACUUUUUCCCCUCAGGGGUCUCCUCCCAACAACACUUAACCAAGCUUUGUAUUCAACAAGGAACACAUUCCGCCUCCACCAAACCUCAUUGAAAACAGAGAGGUGCAUGGAUAACCAUGGCCAAAUCAUAACUGGUAUGCAUGCUCAUGGUUUUCUUUGAAAAUCUAACUGUCCUUUAAAAAUCUUUCCCACAUGAAGAGCCACAAUAAAUGACAAAUACAAAUUAUAAGUUUAUAAGGAAAGUAUGCUAGUAAGUGUAAGCAAAUUAAAAGGAUGUCCCAUAGGGUGGUAACAAC